rnacentral:tRNA from 1 species
AAGGGAGACCUAAUUCAGGUAGGAGACGAAAAAAAAGUAGUCGCUACCAAGAAUCAAUCCCAAAAGGUCGGAGCGAGGCGAAAUUGGCUUUCAAACUAGGUUCUGGGUUCACACAAGACCUGAAUCAGGAACAAGGGCUAUUAGCUCAGGUGGUUAGAGCGCACCCCUGAUAAGGGUGAGGUCCCUGGUUCGAGUCCAGGAUGGCCCACCUGUACAGGUGGCAAAAACAAGAGAAACGAGGAAUCAGCACCUUAUCUUACUUACAUAGUAAGAGAGAAUGCUGGCUCUGAGUAAAGAGUCCAGAGGAACCUUGAAAACUGCAUAGAGCUAGGUGAAAAAGCCAAAAAAGAAGACCGCAA